AGUAAGGCGUAUGUAUGUAUGUCCCGCAUAGAAAUCAAAACCGUUUGACCAUUCCUGAUAAAACUUGGCAUAAAUGUUCCUUGGGUACUAACUAGAACCGUAGCCCUAAAACAAACUUAAGACCCUCAAAAAAAAAGUUGCCCAACUCUAUGAAAGUAUUAUUAUUUCAUGAAUCUAGGCCAUGUUUACCAUGUUGAAAUUAUUAUUUUUGCUGUUUUUGUAUUAUUAUUUCCCUUAUUUUAAUGCUCACCAGUUCAAAAGUUACUUUCUGUAUUCGCUGCAGUUCCCAUAAGUCUUUGCCGCUGUUCUUCAAUUUCCUUUUUAUAAAUAAAAAAGUAGAUCUAAUUUUUAAUAAUCCUAACGAAGUACAUCAUAAAUAAUCUAGAUCUAAUCACCCGAGGGUGACGCUAUCUACAUUGUUAAGUCUCUUUUUAUAGACUUUUUAUAGCCGAUACACAGCUCACUUUGAGUGUCUGUUCCACAUCUAGAUCUAUACAUUCAUCAUGCUUUAGGUCAAAGUGAGCAAUUGUUGCUGCACGUGCAGCUUGAAAUCUAUCACUUGAAAGAAUUGCUCCAGAUGGCGAUGACACCGUGUUGUAUAGGUCGGUGCUAACAUUUAGCAGAAGUGUAAACGUCACAAGGUAAAAUACACGUUGUUCAUUUCCAUUAGACUUACAAGUAGCAUAGAGUUUAAUAGGUCAUAGAGUUUAACAGGUCAGGUCAGGAAUUUUAUUGAUUUUUAGCUUCUCGCCUUUAAAUAAAUGUGCCUCUACCUAAGUACUACCUCAAAAUUCUUGACAAAAUUGCACGUUUUGUCAUACAGAAUAUUUAUUAUGCAUUGUUACUUGUACAUUGCUUUAACAAUGCAUUGUUUUUUCGUACUGCUAUUGACAAGUAGGCCAUAAAUAGAUGUGUGUAGGACAUAAAUAGAUGUGUGUAAGCCUACGUUUGUAUGUGAGUGUGUGUACUCAUGGUGUAAAAUACACGGUACUUUGAGCAUUGUGUACAGAUGAAAUUGUUACCUGCUACUUCUGCUGAAUUGUAUAGUCUUAUUGUCAUUAUCAUUGUCAUUUUAUACUAAAUGGUUUUAAGUUUAAUCGUUGAUCUUGAUCGAAUUUAUAAAAAAUAUGGGAUGUCAUAGUAAGGUUGAAAGGCAUUCUCAAGUUUGCGUUUUUUAAUUUAUUAAAUAUUAAAUUUAUCGCAUAUCUUGGACUUUGAAUUACAAAUAGCUUUUAUAGAUCUAUUUAUUUAAUUUCAAGUGCAGAUGAAAUUUAAAAAAAACAAAAAACCUUGUUAUGAAAAUGAUUUACUGUAUCGGUUUGUUCGCUAACUGUCAAAAAACUCAAACUAAAACUCUCUAAACUCUAUGGCCAUAU